UACGAAGGGUGCAAGCGUUACUCGGAAUUACUGGGCGUAAAGCGUGCGUAGGCGGUUUGUUAAGUCUGUCGUGAAAGCCCCGGGCUCAACCUGGGAAUGGCGAUGGAUACUGGCGAGCUAGAGUACGGUAGAGGAGAGUGGAAUUCCCGGUGUAGCAGUGAAAUGCGUAGAGAUCGGGAGGAACAUCAGUUGCGAAGGCGGCUCUCUGGACCAGUACUGACGCUGAGGCACGAAAGCGUGGGGAGCAAACGGG
rnacentral:rRNA from 1 species